rnacentral:rRNA from 1 species
GAUGAACGCUGGCGGCGUGCCUAAUACAUGCAAGUCGAGCGAACAGACGAGGAGCUUGCUCCUCUGACGUUAGCGGCGGACGGGUGAGUAAAACGUGGAUAACCUACCUAUAAGACUGGGAUAACUUCGGGAAACCGGAGCUAAUACCGGAUAAUAUAUUGAACCGCAUGGUUCAAUAGUGAAAGACGGUUUUGCAGUCACUUAUAGAUGGAUCCGCGCCGCAUUAGCUAGUUGGUAAGGUAACGGCUUACCAAGGCAACGAUGCGUAGCCGACCUGAGAGGGUGAUCGGCCACACUGGAACUGAGACACGGUCCAGACUCCUACGGGAGGCAGCAGUAGGGAAUCUUCCGCAAUGGGCGAAAGCCUGACGGAGCAACGCCGCGUGAGUGAUGAAGGUCUUCGGAUCGUAAAACUCUGUUAUUAGGGAAGAACAAAUGUGUAAGUAACUAUGCACGUCUUGACGGUACCUAAUCAGAAAGCCACGGCUAACUACGUG